GACGUAGGGCGCGAGCGUUGUCCGGAUUUAUUGGGCGUAAAGAGCUCGUAGGCGGCUUGUCGCGUCGUUCGUGAAAACCCACAGCUCAACUGUGGGCUUGCGGUCGAUACGGGCAGGCUGGAGUUCGGUAGGGGAGACUGGAAUUCCUGGUGUAGCGGUGAAAUGCGCAGAUAUCAGGAGGAACACCAACGGCGAAGGCAGCUCGCUGGGACGGUACUGACACUGAGGCGCGAAAGCGUGGGGAGCGAACAGG
rnacentral:rRNA from 1 species